rnacentral:rRNA from 1 species
CCGUAAUCGGAAUGAGUACACUUUAAAUCCUUUAACAAGGAUCCAUUGGAGGGCAAGUCUGGUGCCAGCAGCCGCGGUAAUUCCAGCUCCAAUAGCGUAUAUUAAAGUUGUUGCGGUUAAAAAGCUCGUAGUUGGUUCUGCGUGCCGCGCUGUCGGUUCGCCGCCUGUCGGUGUAACUGGCAUGUCGCGGCAUGUCCUGUCGGUGGUGAACGGAGUCCACAAUGCUACAUAGGCUUUAUAGCCGAUGUUAGCGUCGUGUGUACUUCCGUUGGCCGAUCUCUCCUACUUCGGUGCUCUUAAACGAGUGUCGAGGUAGGCCGACACGUUCACUUUGAACAAAUUAGAGUGCUUAAAGCAGGCUAAAAUCUCUGCCUGAAUAGUGGUGCAUGGAAUGAUAAAACAGGACCUCGGUUCUAUUUUGUUGGUUUUAGGAAUAUGAGGUAAUGAUCAAUGUGGACUGGCGGGGGCAUUCGUAUUGCGACGUUAGAGGUGAAAUUCUUGGAUCGUCGCAAGACGCACUAGAGCGAAAGCAUUUGCCAAGUAUGUCUUAAUUGAUCAAGAACGAAAGUUAGAGGUUCGAAGGCGAUCAGAUACCGCCCUAGUUCUAACCAUAAACGAUGCCAGCCAGCGAUCCGCCGAUGUUCCUUUAAUGACUCGGCGGGGAGCUUCCACCCGGGAAACCAAAGCUUUUGGGUUCCGGGGGAAGUAUGGUUGCAAAGCUGAAACUUAAAGGAAU